rnacentral:rRNA from 1 species
AACGAACGCUGGCGGCAUGCCUAACACAUGCAAGUCGAACGAGACCUUCGGGUCUAGUGGCGCACGGGUGCGUAACGCGUGGGAACCUGCCCGUAGGUUCGGAAUAACUCCCCGAAAGGGGUGCUAAUACCGGAUAAUGUCUUCGGACCAAAGAUUUAUCGCCUUUGGAUGGGCCCGCGUUGGCUUAGCUAGUUGGUAGGGUAAAAGCCUACCAAGGCGACGAUCCAUAGCUGGUCUGAGAGGAUGCUCAGCCACACUGGGACUGCGACACGGCCCAGACUCGUACGCGAGGCAGCAGUGGGGAAUAUUGGACAAUGGGCGAUAGCCUGAUACAGCAACGCCGCGGGAGUGAUGCAGGCCUUAGGGUUGUAAAGCUCUUUUACCCGGGAUGAUAAUGACAGUACCGGGAGAAUAAGCACCGGCUAACUCCGUG